rnacentral:rRNA from 1 species
UGACUCCUACGGGGAGGCAGCAGUGGGGGAAUAUUGCACAAUGGGCGCAAGCCUGAUGCAGCCAUGCCGCGUGUGUGAAGAAGGCCUUCGGGUUGUAAAGCACUUUCAGUCGUGAGGAAGGUAGUGUAGUUAAUAGCUGCAUUAUUUGACGUUAGCGACAGAAGAAGCACCGGCUAACUCCGUGCCAGCAGCCGCGGUAAUACGGAGGGUGCGAGCGUUAAUCGGAAUUACUGGGCGUAAAGCGCAUGCAGGUGGUUUGUUAAGUCAGAUGUGAAAGACCCGGGGCUCAACCUCGGAAUUGCAUUUGAAACUGGCAGACUAGAGUACUGUAGAGGGGGGUAGGAAUUUCAGGUGUAGCGGUGAAAUGCGUAGAGAUCUGAAGGAAUACCGGUGGCGAAGGCGGCCCCCUGGACAGAUACUGACACUCAGAUGCGAAAGCGUGGGGAGCAAACAGGAUUAGAUACCCUGGUAG